GCCCCGUGUUUAAAGGUGGAUGUGGUCACCUUCCCAGCUAGGCUUAGGGAUUCUUAGUCGGCCCAGGAAAUCCAGCUAGUCCUGUCUCUCACCUUGUUUAGCAUAUGCUCAAGAAAUAACCAUAAAAGUGGGCAACCAGCAGCCCUCAGGGCUGCUCUGCCUAUGUAGUGGCUAUUCUUUAUCUCUUUACUUUCUUAACGAACUUGCUUUCACUUUACUCUAUGGACUCACUCAGAAUUCUUUCUUGCAUGAGAUCCAAGAACUGCCUUCCUUGGGGUCUGGAUUGGAACCACCUUUCUGUGUAGGUUGGCAUGCUCCAACAGCAUCACGGACGGGGCCUACACCUUCGCCGAGGUGACCAAUGUCUCCAACUGUUGGAUCUGCACAACUCUUCCAGCAGCAGCUGGGGACAGCUUGUUCUGGCACGUGCAUCCAGCUUCUGUGCAGAAGUGGACAUGGCUAGAGACUUGGGGUCCCGCAGACAAUAG
rnacentral:lncRNA from 1 species